rnacentral:rRNA from 1 species
AGGAAUAUUGGUCAAUGGGCGAGAGCCUGAACCAGCCAAGUCGCGUGAGGGAAGACGGCCCUACGGGUUGUAAACCUCUUUUGUCAGGGAGCAAGAACAGGCACGUGUGCCUGACUGAGAGUACCUGAAGAAAAAGCAUCGGCUAACUCCGUGCCAGCAGCCGCGGUAAUACGGAGGAUGCGAGCGUUAUCCGGAUUUAUUGGGUUUAAAGGGUGCGUAGGCGGACUGCCAAGUCAGCGGUAAAAUAGCGGGGCUCAACCCCGUCGAGCCGUUGAAACUGGUGGUCUUGAGUGGGCGAGAAGUACGCGGAAUGUGUGGUGUAGCGGUGAAAUGCAUAGAUAUCACGCAGAACUCCGAUUGCGAAGGCAGCGUACCGGCGCCCGACUGACGCUGAAGCACGAAAACGUGGGUAUCGAACAGGAUUAGAUACCCUGGUAGUCCACGCAGUAAACGAUGAAUGCUAGCUGUCCGGGACGAAUGAGUCCUGGGUGGCACAGCGAAAGCGUUAAGCAUUCCACCUGGGGAGUACGCCGGCAACGGUGAAACUCAAAGGAAUUGACGGGGGCCCGCACAAGCGGAGGAACAUGUGGUUUAAUUCGAUGAUACGCGAGGAACCUUACCCGGGCUCAAACGCACUACGAAUGAUGCUGAAAGGUGUCAGCCAGCAAUGGCGUAGUGCGAGGUGCUGCAUGGUUGUCGUCAGCUCGUGCCGUGAGGUGUCGGCUUAAGUGCCAUAACGAGCGCAACCCCUACCGACAGUUGCUAACUGGUCAAGCAGAGGACUCUGUCGGGACUGCCGGCGCAAGCUGUGAGGAAGGCGGGGAUGACGUCAAAUCAGCACGGCCCUUACGUCCGGGGCGACACACGUGUUACAAUGGCAGGUACAGCGGGAAGCCACCUGGCGACAGGGAGCGGAACCCGAAAACCUGUCUCAGUUCGGAUUGGAGUCUGCAACCCGACUCCAUGAAGCUGGAUUCGCUAGUAAUCGCGCAUCAGCCAUGGCGCGGUGAAUACGUUCCCG